rnacentral:rRNA from 1 species
AACCUUUACAAUGCACGAAAGUGUGAUAAGGGAAUCCUAAGUGCUUUGCUUUUUGCAAGGCUUUUUUCAAGAGUAAAUAUCUUGGAGAAUAAGUGGUGGGAAGACUGGUGCCAGCAGCCGCGGUAAUACCAGCGCCACGAGUGGUGAUCAUUUUUAUUGGGCCUAAAGCGUUCGUAGCCGGUCUGAUAAAUCUUCUGUGAAAUUGUCAAGCUUAACUUGACAGCGUGCAAAAGACACUAUCAGACUUGGAACCGGGAGGAGUCAGAGGUAUUCUUUGGGGAGCGGUAAAA